rnacentral:piRNA from 1 species
UAUAAUAAUGCAUAAAAAUACCAUCUAAAAU